GCACAAGCGGUGGAGCAUGUGGUUUAAUUCGAUGAUACGCGAGGAACCUUACCGUGGGCUCAAAUGUAUGUUGACGUAUUCUGAAAGGGAUACUUCUUCGGACAAUAUACAAGGUGCUGCAUGGUUGUCGUCAGCUCGUGCCGUGAGGUGUCGGGUUAAGUCCCAUAACGAGCGCAACCCCUAUCAUUAGUUGCCAUCAGGUCAAGCUGGGGACUCUAAUGAAACUGCCUACGCAAGUAGUGAGGAAGGCGGGGAUGACGUCAAAUCAGCACGGCCCUUACGUCCAGGGCUACACACGUGCUACAAUGGCCGAUACAGAGGGCAGCUACCUGGUGACAGGAUGCAAAUCUCCAAAGUCGGUCUCAGUUCGGAUCGGAGUCUGCAACCCGACUCCGUGAAGUUGGAUUCGCUAGUAAUCGCGCAUCAGCCAUGGCGCGGUGAAUACGUUCCCGGGCCUU
rnacentral:rRNA from 1 species